rnacentral:lncRNA from 10 species
CCUUAUUGUAUUAAGUGCUCUAGCAGUCUCUGUUCCUCUAUAUUUCUUUACUACACAUCCAAUAUGCUAUGCUUUAUUUAUUUAUUUGUGUUUUUUCUUGACUGUUUCUACUCAAUACAACAUAAAUUUUAUGAGAGCAGAGAUUUUUGUCUCUUUCAUCCUCUGCUAUAAUUUGGUGCCUAGAACAAUAUCUGGCACGAAGUAGAUGCUCGAUAAAUGCUUUUUGAGUAAAGUAACGCAGAAGCUGUAUGUGUUCUGUUGCUAGAGGCUAAGUGCAUUUUCUCUAAGCCCAGCAUUGAAUGGCUUAUUGAAGAAUGAAACACGCAUUUCCAGGCUGGUCUCUGUGGUUUUUAUUAGUGUUUCCUGGGACCCAUCAAACAAAUAAACAUAUUUUGAAAAAUAUAAUUCUUUGACAAAACAGGAAUAGCAGGAAUAGUUUGAAUUUAACAUAGCUUAAAGGGAAAGAUUUCUGAUUUUUUUUAAAUAGUAGCAAUAGAGUUGUUUCCACAAAUUGUCAACCCAGGAGCCAGAUGGAAAGAAAAACAAGAAUUAUGCAGAUAACUACAGAAAGAUUAAUCCCAAUUUAGUUAAACUUGUGAAGGCUUGUACGUUUCAGAGGUUCAUAAGACACAGUCUCAACAGGAGUUUUUUUUAAUAAAUGCUCUAUCUCUAGUUCCAGAAACUGAAUUCCAAGAAGCUACACUGAGGAUAAUUCAGCUCUGAUAUUGUGAUUACUGUGAUGUUCUUUCAUUCAUACAGUAAGUAUCUGCCCAAUACGUAACUACCGAGAUCUAUGCUUGCAAAACUAAAAUCUAACAUGCAUUACUAACUUUAUCAAAAGAUCCCUCAGUAUUUUUCAAAAAGGAAAAAAAUAAUAAAAACCAAUCCCCCAAAUACUAAAACUUAGAACUGCUUUACACUUAAAUAGCAAUUUACAUCAUAUUAACAUAUUCAUAAUCUUCAUUGGUUAAAACAGGUCAAAGGUUUAUUACUGGCUUCUCAUACCAGAUAAGUCUCACAGUUCCCAAUAAGGCAACAGAAUCCUCAUCCAACAUAUAUUGACUUGUGGAACCCAACGGCCUGUUUUGGUUUCAUUUCAGCGCAAGUAGAAGGCAAAAUAAAGAGUCUCACAGUAAAAUGUUCAUAGUAGAUAAUAUGUCCUUGAAGGUUGUGCCGUUGUGCUCUUAUUCCACUGAAGAAAUGAUUCACAUCCCAAUUAUAGAUAUGGUCUCCCAAUCAGAGGAGUCUUUUAGAAGACAUUCAUUCAUUCAUUGAACAAAUAUGUGUUGUGUACUUGUCCCAUGCUAGGUAACAGGAAAAUAAUAGUGAUUGAUAAGACAUAGUCCCUGUCCUCAAAGAGCUAACAGUCUAGCAAGGCAGGAACUUUGAGAAAAGACCAAUGUGUUCAAAGGAAAACUCACAACCUGGGUCUCCCUUCUCAGAUGGCACAUUCAAGAAACUGUUGCUUAUGCCCCUGGGAGCCAGAGCCUUACUUAAGUCUUACCAAGUCAAAUAUCUAUCAGCCUCAGAUGAUUUGAGCCUGGUAAAGUCUUAGCAAUAGAUUUGCUGCCUCAUGUUCCCAUGAAAACCUAAUAAGAGAGAGCCCUUUCAACUCAGGCAUACGGGGGGUUUAAGGAUAACAUGUUUAGUGACCAUGUGGACAUUCAGCACAGGUGAGCUUCUCAAGUGAGAGCCAUGUGUCCCCAAAAGAAAGGAGGGUUUAUCCAUAAGACUUUGCUCUCCCUUUCAACACUGUGGUGGGAAGUACUCUGUUACCACCCCAAGUUGGCAUAGCUCGAUUACUUUAAGUUCUCCAAGUCACGAACAGCACAUAGAAAAUUCAUGUGGUUAUGCAGAGAUUAUAGCC